ACGACCUUGCUUGAACAGGAUAUGUUCUAUAGUCUCGUACCUCUGUAUCCUUCAGUUCUAAGGAGACAGGAUUCCAUGUCUGGUUGUUGAAUUGCGACUGUGAGAUCAGAACGUGAUUACUGGUUUGAUGACCCAUUAUUAGGAUCACUUUAAUCGCAGAGGAUCGCUCCUAGCUUGCCUUGUCUUGCUGGGACGGUCUCGCAGUUGUCUGACAGACC